AUUGAACGCUGGCGGCAGGCUUAACACAUGCGAGUCGAGCGGGGAAAGGUAGCUUGCUACCUGACCUAGCGGCGGACGGGUGAGUAAUGCUUAGGAAUCUGCCUAUUAGUGGGGGACAACAUUCCGAAAGGAAUGCUAAUACCGCAGACGCCCUACGGGGGAAAGCAGGGGAUCUUCGGACCUUGCGCUAAUAGAUGAGCCUAAGUCAGAUUAGCUAGUUGGUGGGGUAAAGGCCUACCAAGGCGACGAUCUGUAGCGGGUCUGAGAGGAUGAUCCGCCACACUGGGACUGAGACACGGCCCAAACUCCUACGGGAGGCAGCAGUGGGGAAUAUUGGACAAUGGGCGAAAGCCUGAUCCAGCCAUGCCGCGUGUGUGAAGAAGGCCUUUUGGUUGUAAAGCACUUUAAGCGAGGAGGAGGCUACUUGGAUUAAUACUCUAGGAUAGUGGACGUUACUCGCAGAAUAAGCACCGGCUAACUCUGUGCCAGCCGCCGCAGUAAUAC
rnacentral:rRNA from 1 species